rnacentral:sRNA from 1 species
CGAUAAUUAAAAAGCAAGUGCCUGUAUGUUGUUUUACUUUUGGAAUUCCAAGCGAAUUUAUUAUAAAAAGAUUGAAAGAAGCAAACAUUAAGCUAAUAGGUACAGCAACAAGUGUUGAUGAAGCUAU